AUUGCAGACCGGUGAUGAAACUGUUCUAGGAAGUGCCGUCUUAGAAACAAUGAUUAUGAAUUGGACGCUGAGGUCA
rnacentral:snoRNA from 15 species